rnacentral:rRNA from 1 species
GAUGAACGCUGGCGGCGUGCCUAAUACAUGCAAGUCGAGCGAACGGACGAGAAGCUUGCUUCUCUGAUGUUAGCGGCGGACGGGUGAGUAACACGUGGAUAACCUACCUAUAAGACUGGGAUAACUUCGGGAAACCGGAGCUAAUACCGGAUAAUAUUUUGAACCGCAUGGUUCAAAAGUGAAAGACGGUCUUGCUGUCACUUAUAGAUGGAUCCGCGCUGCAUUAGCUAGUUGGUAAGGUAACGGCUUACCAAGGCAACGAUGCAUAGCCGACAUGAGAGGGUGAUCGGCCACACUGGAACUGAGACACGGUCCAGACUCCUACGGGAGGCAGCAGUAGGGACUCUUCCGCAAUGGGCGAAAGCCUGACGGAGCAACGCCGCGUGAGUGAUGAAGGUCUUCGGAUCGUAAAACUCUGUUAUUAGGGAAGAACAUAUGUGUAAGUAACUGUGCACAUCUUGACGGUACCUAAUCAGAAAGCCACGGCUAACUACGUG